rnacentral:lncRNA from 1 species
AGUGCAUUUAAAUUCUAGAUUGUGUAUAAAUUUCAAAAAUGAUCUAUAAAUCCCGACAAUUUUAUUUUAUUAGUUUUAUAAUAUUCGGAGAUUUAUAAAUAUUAUUUCGAUAAUUUUUGGGAGAAAUUUUAUUGCUAGUUAUUCCGUAAACUAGUUAAUUGUGGGUGUAUUCGGUGAUUAUACAGCUUAAAGAUAUGUGGCAGUCCUUUUGCACGCCACGUGCUCCAUCUUUUCUUUCACCGUCUUUUAUUUCUUCCCCAUCUCAAUUUCAUCUCUCUCUCAUCACUCCCUUAAAUCUCCCCAUCAGUCUCGUCUUUACUCCCUCUCUACUCUGCUUCCCGACACAAUCACAUCCCGCCUAGCUGCAACGCUGUCCAAUCCCUUUUCCGUCAUGCACCGCGGUCAGUCCACCUGCCGAGUUUUCUUUCCGGCAGCUUCCCUCCUCCGUGUUUUCUACCGCUCGAAACCAAUCUCUGUUCUUCAUUCUCCGCCCGACUAACUCCAUUUUCUGGCCAACAGUCAACCCCACCUUUGGUUGCUCUGAUUUAGGUACAUCUUAUAUUGUCUCCUCUUUCGGUUAUGUGUGUAUAUAUUUGUGUAUGUAUAUAAACUGAUUAUAUGCUUGUAAUUGAAGGUUGAUUGAAUUUUGAGAUUAAGAUUGGUGUUAGUAAUUGUAUGAUUGAAUUGUGUGCUUAAUUGAUAUUUGAAUUGGUUGUUGUAAGUUGAUUAUAAUUAGUACGCCAACUAGUAGUAUAAUCGGAUGACUUGGGUACUUGAAUUAUGGGAAUAUAUAACUGAGUAUUCAAGAUUUCAGGUUUAAGAUUUUGUGUAAAUGUUUUCAGAAUGGUGUUUUAAGAGUUUGAAUAUUGGGCAAAAAUUUAGAUUUACACAUAAUCCGUUGAAUUCUAGGUUGCUGCUGAUCUGUUUUGCAGUACAACUCUGGGCUCAUAGAGUCGAAUUAUAUGCUUAAUCUUUGUGUGGUUAUGUGCUCGUCAGAGUCUAGUUUAUGUGCACGAAAGAAUCGAAUCGAUUCGAUUAGUGAGCUAGGAGAUAUGACCAAUUUAGUAUGGUAUGCGCUGAAAAUUCUGGGCAGGUUUGUCCUGUUCCAAGCCCUGUUUUACUGCUUUAAACUUGGAUUUUCUUGCUGAAAAUUUUACUGUAGGUUGCUGGGAUUGUCCCAUAAAAAUUUUGUAUUAAAGCGAUAUAUUUUCAAUUUAUUAAAAAUCAUAGAAUGAAGGUUGUUUUGAACUAUUUGCUCUAGUUUUUUUUCUUUGUUAGUGCAUAAUACGAGGUUCUACUUGAUUAAUUGCAUACGAUUGAUUAUUAAAUUGAUUGGCUCAGUUGACCUUGUAUAUCUUAUUAAACGUAUUUUGUGUAUAGUGAAUUAGCAAUAAUGCUAAAAGUUUUUCUUAUGUGUUUACUGCAAGUCAAGGGAUCUUUUUAUAUUAAUAAUUCAUGUGUUAGCAAUAGUAUUGGUUGGUUGUUGGUAUUGCAAACAGGUGGAUAGGCCUAUAAACAGAGGAGAUGCUGCCGAAUUUUCGUUAGAAAUUAUAUGUAUUUAAUGGCUAUAGAAAGGGUUGUUUGUACAACUAUGUGCUAUGUGUUUAUCUGACUAUGUGGUAUGUAUAUGCGAAGGGUAGAUAUAUAUAGGUCUUAAUGCUUUUCACGGUUAGUUAAUCCGUCCAAUCUGACGAUUAAAAUACUAUUUUACUAUCGUAUAGAAUUGAAGACAUUGACCGAGGCAUUGAUCGAGAAGUGAUUGCAAUGGGUAUUCAGAAGUAGCCAGGGGGUGUUGCAAGUUGAAGUAGGGCGAAGAUUUGUUGUAGAUAAAAGCUUGUCAGAAGUUGGCAAAAAGGAAUGAUAUGGCAGUAUAUAGUAUUAUUAGAAAUCUAAGGUAGACACCGGAGUUAAGGCAAGUAUUCUCAUUUCUCUCUUAUAUAUUUGAAAGUGCAAGUAUUCCUACCUCUCUCUUUUAUUUGAAAGAGUAAGUAUACUCCUCUUUUAUUCAAAGAAAAGCGUCCAUAACCAUAUUUUAGAAUUUCGGCUAGUACUUCUACCUUUCUCUUGCAAAUUAGAAGCAAGUGCACUUUCCUUAAACUAUUACUUACUGCAAAUGCAUGACUUAAGUGCGAUUUUUGAUUUGAAAGGUUGACUUACCAAAUUGAUGCAUAAGAUUUCAAAAUCUCUAUAAAUGGUUUUCAUAACUCGGUUUAGUUCCUCUGGUUGUAAGGCUUAUCUAUUAUAAGUAUACUUCUCAUGGAAUAAACCUUUUCUUGAAAACAUUAAAGUUGUAGUUUUGAAACCUAUAUUGGGUAGGUUUGCGUAAGAGGCCCAGACACCGGCCCAGCGUGAAAGGUGGCUCCAUUAGCCCGGAAUACCGGAUUUCAUAAUAUUUGUGUGGCCUAGCUUGAAAAAGACUAGGUUCUAUGGACUAUAAUGCGACUGAUCAUCGGCUAUAGCAUGGUGUCUUAUUCAAAAACCCAAUUAAACAAUGGAUAGUUUGAAAAGAGAUUAUCUUAUGUUGAAAAGAUGAUUGAUUUCAUUUUUAUCUCUACAGCUUUAAAUUCAUAUAUUGAUGCAGAACUACUUUAUCAUGUAUACCAUUUCACUCUUUUAUAUUGAACUGUGAUUUACAACAUCAUGUUAUAAUCCAAAGUUUACUUAUACUUUAAUCAUUCAGAUUCACUUAAAUAUGUAUAUCUUGUAACUUUCACCUAUCAUAUUCUUGCUGAGCAUCAUUGCUCAUUCUUGCUAUUCCUUUCGACCCUUUUCAGCUAGGGAUACAGAUGAUUCACUUAAGACUGUGCGUAAGAGUAAUGACAGGCAAUGAUUGCAAGUGGUUGAGUUCAGGCAGAUGGUCAGGUAGAGUAUCCAGGACGAUGUCAUUAAGACUAGAUGCAGUUGGAGUUCUGCAAUUCAAUUCAGUUGGAAAUGAGAUUUGUUUAUUUGGUUAUAAGUUACUCUUCUUAUCGAGGUUUAGAUGAUAAUGCAGUUCAAUUUGUAAAUUAAAUUUGAUAGUUUUAGUUUCUGAUUUCAAUGCUGUAACCUGUAUGCGAUCCUGUUUUCAGGGGGUAAAAUUGAUUUUCAAUUUGAAUCAUUUUUUUUAAAAUAUUCAGGUUUCGAAAUAUUUGUUUUAACUUUCUUUCAAAAAUACAGGUUUUAAAUUGUUUUUCUUUUAGUGGCUAAAAAAAAUACAGGUUUUAAAUUAUUUUUAUUUACACGUGGCACCAGAUCCAGACCCCCGGAUCUCAGGGCUGUCACAGUAGUCUCAAAUUGUAAGGCACCUGCAUAAUCCAGCUUAAUGCUUCCUUUAUUCCUAAAGUUUC